AUGUUAUUAUGGUUUGGGAAACUGUUCACUUUCUCUUAUCUCUCCGAAAAUUGAAUCCCUUGAGGUACAAGGCUGUAGUUGGAUCAGGGUCCCUGAAACCGGGCAUUUGAAGAAGCUUUCAAUUUCCAACAGUUCGGGGAGGGUAUACAUGAUAGAUUUCGGAAACCUCAAUGUUCUGGAGUUCCUGUCGAUGCGAGGAGUCCAGUGGUGCUGUGAUGCAAUAUGUAAAAUGCUGAAAUUGGCAAGUGAGGUGAAGCAUCUUUUUAUGAAGGUUG